GUGUCCAGGGAGCACAAGGCCUGGGGGCCCACAAACCUGGGUCUGUAUGCCCACUCUUCAUUAGCAGCUCCAGGACCAAGUGCGGUCAGUUUUCUGGAACUCGUUUCCAUAUCUCCACUGUGAUGUAAGGAUGUGCAUGGAUCCUAAAUGUGAGAAGCUGGCAAUCACCAGGUCCCUGGCAAGUGCUCAGAGUCUGAGCUACCAUCAAAAUCAAGGGCACAGGGGGAAGCUAACUGCUUCUCUGAAUACUCUAAGGGAGGCAGAUCUAGGCCAGGUGACCAGGGUUUACAAGUCCCAGGACAGCAGGUUGGGCUUGGUGCACGGAAGAACUGAUGAGCAGCUUCACUCAUGCAGGUCCAAACAGGGUCUCUUGCUUCCCCUCUCUUUGCAGCAGGACAGAUCAGGACAAAGCCAUGCUGGAGUUGGGGCCACACAUCUGCUGAAAACCCCCAACACUCUUUUUCCCAGCAGCAGCUUCCAAGCAAUUCCUGAGGCCCUCCCACCGGCUAACCAGAAAGGAACCCACCAUUGGUCUCCUUAGUAACGACUUCCAAGGCCCCUUGGACAUCUGAAAAGCGCACAGUGUGAUUUCCAGACCCAAGUUAGACAGCGAUUUCUUCAAAGUGCAACGCCCUCAAUUAAUGAACCCUCUGGGAAUGAAGUACCUUCUAACAAAAACAUUGUUCAAAAUAAAGCUGGAAAAAAACCUCACACAGCCCCUAGGAC
rnacentral:lncRNA from 1 species